AAUAUUCUUUUGUUCUUUAAUCUUUAAUUAAUUUGUAAUCAUAAGUAGUCCUUGGAUCAAAUACUAUUUCACCUAUCACUUCUCAACUCAAGUGGACUACUAUCAUCCUAGCCCUACAACAUCUCCAUCCAAGGGCCACAAAUUUAAAAACAACAAUCCCUUUGUACUAUCGAUAGCACGAAGUAUUUGGUGCUAUCAAAUUUUCUGCCGUUAGAUUUAGCUCUUCUAUCAUUUUCAUCUGUUUGAUUACACUAUUCAACUAACCACCCACUCAACCCUAGAGGGUCCACCUCAUCUAACCGCACAUCUUUCAAAUCAAGGGCAGAAAACUUAAUAGCACCAAGUUAUUAAUACUAUUAAUAGUAUUCCGGCCUACUUAUAUAUAUAUAUAUAUAUAUAUAUAU
rnacentral:lncRNA from 1 species